rnacentral:lncRNA from 1 species
UUUUGUUUAUGUAUGCCAUUUAACGGCAAGGUUUUAUAUGUGUAAUGUAAACAACGUCUGUAGUGCCACGUAAAUCCUCCUCAAUACAUAGAGUUAAGUUUUAUUAACUCCCACAACGAGUACUAUAUGCGUUUAUCAAUCAAACUUGCUUAAUGCACGCAGAUAAGAUGCGACGUGUGAGAACUAGAUCCAAGCUCCAUGUCAGUAUCAAGCAGCUUUCUGUGAUAAUUCGGCAAGAGGAAAUAUCACUGGUUUCGAAGGGAAGACCCGUACCCGGAGGGGACGAGAGACGGGAAGAAUGAAGAAGAUAGAGCAUUAUUUUAGCAAGAGAGAAAGAAAUAGGAGUUGACGAAAGCGCGUAGGGUAAAGUUUGAGAGACUGGGAGGCAGAAAGCUGGAUUUGCGCCAUCUGUACUUUCUCCUGCGUGACGUGAUUGCAUUGCACUUGACGUCCCUGUGCAGGCGAACAAGUCCCCUUGCAAGCACACAGCACCACACUAAGGCAAUAGACCAUGCACAGUCAACAGGGGAGGUCUGGGAAGCAGAAAGGUGGGCUCUUUGGCAACAUUUGGGAAGCCACUGCACACCGACUUCAUGCUCUCGAGAAUGGUGCCCUCUCUAACUAAAAAUGGAAUGAGUUUUGAGGUUUUUUUUUUUUUUUUCGUUCAAAACACUGAAAUCAAUAAAGUUAAAAUCA